UUCGUUUUCUAGUAAAUACAGGACACUGUUUUGUUUGUUUUGGUUUUUAUUUUUAUUAUUGUUUUUUUUGAAAUUUUUUCUUGAAACGCCCCCGAACCUGCAAAGGGACUUUGCAGAAAGUCUAGAGAGGAUGUUGAGGACUAUCUUGUUAAGUUAAUCGUAAAAUUUAUCCAAAUAAAAAGUUAAGUGUAUUAUGAUUUUCUUUUUCUUCACGAUUUGGUUUCACCGAUCAAAGAAAAACUAAAACUUUUUUGUUGGUUAUUUUUGCUUUUCCAAUUCUGUUGGACUUCAGGUUUUUGGUUGUAGUUUCAGGGGAAAAAUUAAGCAAAAGGAAAAAGAAAAUCUGGCCAGUCUUUCUUCACCAUUGAAAGCCUCUGCUUGAUCUUGAAGAAGGUGAAACUUACGGUAUCGCUUUGAUGAACCAGAGACGCAGAAGGAGGGGAUGGUUCACUAUUAAUAAUCCUUCACUUGUUUUGGUAUAUAGGAGGCUAAUACUUGGAUAGCAUAGUUGGGACCUGAUGGCAUGGCACUUGCAAAACGUUUUUCUAAUUUUUGUUGCUGCAUGAAGACUUGCUAUGGUAUUGUGACAUAGUUACUCUGAAUUUAUGGCAACAAAAUGCUUCAUAGUUGAAGAUAUCAAAUUGAAAUUUUAGACCUUGGUUUUCCAAACAAUAAAGAGGUGUAAAUAUAUUUGUACAUUUCUUUUUUUUCUUUUUUUCUUUUUUUUUUGUUUUGUUUUGCACAAAUUUGUGCAUAGUUUUGCAAUUUUAUUGUUAGUUUACUAUCUAUAAUUUUGAUCUAUAAACAUUCCGUGAAAUGGUGUUUUUUGUUAUUCAAGUAAUAAUUGCAGAGUGAUAUUAUGGUGGAGAAUUGACAUGUGGAAUAUGGAACCAAACUCCAGUAAAUGGAAGAAAAGAAAAAGUAGUUUUGGUAAAAUUUGGAAGAGAAUGAGAAAACAUAAAAUUUUUUGGCUAAAUUUUUAACUAAGUAAUGUUAUCUAUCAUCCUUUAUUAUUUUUAGACCAAAAUGUUUUCAUUAGGUUUUAUAAUUCUAUAUAUGCAAUACCAACAAAAGGGGAUCUUAUAUGGGAAUGUGAUGGAGAAGCAAGUUCUUAGAAUCAUCUAUUCUCACUUUGUUCCAGUGCUACUUUAACUUUGCUUGAUGCAAAAUGCUAAGGUUUAAGUUCCUUUCCAUAUUUCAAGCUAUAAUUUCAUAGUUUACCAAGCAAUUGAUUAUAUGUAUAAUAAGGGAUUGUUUUGUAUUUAAAUUGCUAUUUUUAAUGCUUGUUUUGUAUUUAAAUUGCUAUUUUUUAUGCUUGCUUUUGUUUUUUAUUUUUUAUUUUUUGGUUCCUUCUCUUUUCGUUUAUGUGUUAAUUUAUUUUCUGCAAAAUGUUUCCGUUUGUGGUAGUCCUUUUAUUCUUGAUAUAUGUUAAUAGAAAAUUUCAGACUUAUUGGGUGUUAAAUAUAGUGAGUCCAUUAUAUCCUUCUACUUUUGUUUGGAAGUGUUGGCCAUUUCUCAUAUUUGUUGUUGUUGAUGUGAUGCUGUAUUUCUAUAUCUCAAACUUUUAUUAUUUAUUCAAUUUUAUUGAAUUUCCUUUCCAUUGUUGUUCAUUUUGGUAGUGGAAGAGUUAUUAACUUUGCUGAAGUGCUUGAAACUGAAGAAUUGCUAGCAAAGCUUGCACCAUAAAAUUACUAGCUGCUUACAAGAGUACCAUACAAGUACUAGCUGCUUACAAGAGUAAACGUGGCUUAAAUAUUGAUCCAAAGUUAAAUCUGUGUGUGAGAAAGUUUGUUACUUUUUCAAUUUGUAUGUCAUACACUAUAUCCUGUUAAAAGCUCUCUAACUCUAUUUUUUUCAUGACCUUCUUCUUACUCAACAUUACUGGUUCAUUUAAUUUCAUUAAAAUUGACUUUCAAUUGCAAAGAAGUAGUUGAGUAUAUUUUCAGCUACAGUUAGAAAUAGAAAUGUAGAGACAUAAUUGGUCUAUUCAUGUAGAAUGUGAAAAUUGUAUACAGGCAUUAAAGGAUGGUGACGCGUUGAUGAAUCUUGGAACGCUUAACAAUGGACUACCCUGUUGUGUAACGGUUAUGGAUAAAAUGAUAUUCUUGGUACUUUUUUGCUGCUUAGAUUACUUAAAUUGUGCUUCAUAGAUUCAAAAAAUAAAAUAAUUUAUGCAAAUAUUGUUUAUACAAAAUAAUUGCAUAUAAUGUUACACUAUAUCUAUGUACAUCAUUAUUUAUUUCUUGCAAAAUUUUUCAUACAUUAAGCUUUAUGGAUUAGCUGCUUUGUAAUGGUCUAUUUAUCAAGAUUCCUGUCAUAGGUGUAUAUCUAUUUUGAGCUUUCUCAAAAUCUAACAUAACCAUUUGAUACAAACUUUACAUUGAUUUUGGAAUGAGUCUGUUGAAGUCGUAUUUUGAUAACAAUGAAGUGUACAAUAAUUAUCUCUUUGUACAAGGGAUUUUAAUGUCUGUUUUUAGCUUUAGAAAUGGUGUAAAAAAAUUGAAAGUAUCAAAAUUUGCAGAAUAAGAAUCACGUGGACAGGCAUUCACUCCAAUGUUCAUGAUUGCUUAACCCUUGCUUCUAUUGUGAUGACCUAUUUACGUUUUCAAGUAUACCGAUCAAAAGUCGUUUUGGGGUUAUCUUAAUUUAAGACAAAUAUAUAGAUUUAAGUUUGUGCCAAAAUGGAAUUACAAACUAAAAAUUUCGUAGAAAGCAUGAUAAAUCUAGGAGCUAGGUUCUGCUGAUGCUUCUUUAAGGUUUUUCAUUCAUAUGUUAUGAUUGACUAAUAGUCGAGUGCCUCUUAUACUAUCAGAUACUUCUGAAGCACAGCCUUAAUGGGUUUCGUUAAUUAGUUUCUUUUAAUCUUUUUAUUUGGGUUUUAUGUGUUUUCUAAUACGUUUGCCAUGUUUCACUUGUAUACAAGUUUUAUAUUCGAAGAGCCUCCAUUUUAUAACUCCCGUACAUAUAAUUGUAAAUACUACUCAUCCCAACUAUUUUAUCCAAAAAUGUGGAGGAAAAUAUCUUCUACUUUCCAACUACUUCAGGUACAAAAUAUGAAUUCUUUCUACCAUUCAGCCUCAUUGAAAGCCUAUUGAUUAGGAUUCUUGCUUUAGGAUUGGCCUGUUAUUCGUAAUUCUAUUAACAUAUACUUAACUAUGCUUUUCCUAAUAAAUUUUAUCAGCUGUUGAUGGGAACAAGGUAAACAGCCUCGAUAUGAACAAUGGUAACUCUUGCUUUUGAGAAAAAUAUUUUCUUUUUUUUUUUACCUCCUUCUGCACUUUAUCAUUAUUCUGUUUUCAAGUUUUUAUUUGACAAUUGAUUCCCUGUUUGAGUGCUUCACAUCGGUUCCCCCCUCUCUUUGAGUGCUUCACAUCAGUUCCCCCCUCUUUCUGAGUGCUUCACAUCUGUUUUGAUCAUUCUUAUAGAAAAAAUUUGUUCCCUUUGUUCAGUUAAAAAGGAAAGAUGCUGGAGUUUGUAUGUUCCGUUUGGUUUCUGCCACGCCUUCAUUAUGUAGACUCAAAUUAGUAUGUUAUUACAUUACCCAAAAAAAAAAAAAAAAAAAAAAAAGAAAAAAGAAAAAAAAAAUAGUAUGUUAUUAAUUGCAUAAAGUUUUAGGUAUUGUGGGUUUGGGGGGAAAAAAAUUUACAAGUAUGAUUUUUAUAAGAAGAUGAUCGAAUCUGAUUAGCAGAAAUACCUUUGUACAUUUUUACCCUUUUAUUCUUGUUUUUCCAUGCAACUGCAUUUUAUAUUUCAAAUAUCUGGGAUACUUCUAUCUUGUCUUUAUAUGCAACUGGGUGCUAUAUUUUCAUAUCUCUAGGAUACUUCUAUUUGACUUUAUUCUUGCUUCUAUGUUUAUAUGGUGAACGUGGAGCAUUAAUUCAAGAAAUCAUAAGUUUUUGGUCUAUGGCUAUCUUGAGAGUAAUAGCCUUGCAAUAAUAUUUCUUGGUAAUUCAAUUAUUUUAAAUUUCUUAAUUUGGCUUCAAUACUAUAUGAGUAGUGAUUUUGUUUCUCUAUGCUUUUAGGUGGAGAUCACAGUUCUUUCUUUUAUUUUAUUUUUAAUGGUUUUGUUCCAAUCCAGAAAAAGUAUCCAACAAGGUCUUAUUAUGUUCAAAUUUCACUUGUAUGGAAUUUAACAAUAGUUGAUAAUUGGAGAAUAUCUGAAUCCUGAAGCUUAUAUGCAAGCUAAAUUGGUUUUUUAUUUUAUUUUAUUUUAUUUUUUCAUUUUUUUUUUCUUUUUGGCAAAUUCAGUAUCCAUUGAUAAACAAUUUCUUUUUUUUUUUUUGGUGCAUAAUUUUUUAACAGAAUGGUUCUUAAACUUUUAGAAUGGAAAAUAUAGAAAUGCUCAAAGACUAGUCAUUCUAGCAGCCUAUUUGCUGGCUUCUUUCUGUAGAGUGCAUGUCAAUCAUUUAGAAUUUGUAUCUCAAUACAUCAAAUCUAAUUAGAAGUUAAAUCAAAUCUGUUGAGUGUGAGAAGCUGGUGAACUUGGUGCUGUUAUUUUAUAAUAGUACAUAUUUUCAUAUUUAAAAGAAUGUCCAAACUAGAUACUCAACAUAUCAAAGGGAAGCAUUUGAUUCGAGGACUUGGUGCUUGUACCAUACCAAAUGUUCUGGAUGUUGGCAUUCUUGUUGGAAAAUUUUUUAGUUCUAAAGCUAUUUCACUAGUUAUUUUGGUAUAUGAUUGAUUGAUAUCAUAAUGCAUUUUCUUUUGCUAUUUGGUAUCCAUGGAAAUAUUAAUAACUUUGUUUUUGUUAGCUUCUAAUUCAUAUAUGAAUUUUUUUUUAGUGAUUGCUGAAGUUUCUAUAACAUUAAAGAUACAAGCGAGCAAGCUCUUCAAAGUGCUAAGCUGCUUGUAUUAAAAUGUCUUUGGUAUGGUAUGGCCUCUAAAAAAUACCCUUGAUGGAUCUAGCAUUUUGUAGCAUUCCAUUUUUUAUUUUAUGAGAAUUCUUAGAUAUUUAUUAUUUUUAGGCAUUAUAAAUUUUCCAAUUAUCAUCCUAAUAACUUUUGCAAGUAGAGGUUUCAUUUGAUGUUGCAGCUGCUGCUGCAAUUAAGUACGCAAAGAGGUUGGAAAAUACUGCAAAACUCAUUGUUCUAAAUCUAGUUUCCUUCUUUUCAUCAACAUUCCCGCUGCUACUAUAAUGCUUCAUUUAAUUAUUAUUAUUUUUUUUUAACGUGCAAAAAAUGUUUUUUCUGAUAACCAAGUAGAUAUGUAUUUCCAAAAUCCAUGUAUAAAAUCAGGAUGCAAGCGCUCACUUUUUGGAGGUCUAAUUGAGCUGCUUUAAUGGCAAUAUGAAUGCGCUUGGCUCAUUACACACAGUUCCUUUGCAAGGCUUGGAUUGAGAUCUGUCACUGGUUCUGUUAAUCUAGCUCCAACCAAUCAAGAGGAGUUUAUGACUAGCCAGCUAAUUGUAAUAUUGUAGUUUCCUCUUCUUAGUUAUCAAUGUUGACUUUUUUGUGCUGUUUGUUUCUUUGCAAAGUUUAGUCAGUGAAAAACAAGAUAUUGAAAUAAAGCAGAAACUAAUGCAAUAUAUACGUUGGAUAUCAUACAUCAUACAUAUUAAAAUAUUA